AUGCCUGUACUAUCCAGCUGUGGCAGGUGUCCUACGUGCCAUGGCACGUGUCCACCUGGGAGUUGUUUAGCAUUCACAUCGUUGUCAUCACUUGAUAGUGUCGUUGCGAUGAAGGCUACUCCCACUGGCCGAGUAUUCGUGGCAGGUCCGGGCGGUCACUUUAAGGUGGACACGCGUAGCCUCGGGUGGCACCUCUGCAGAAGAAGCGAGCGGGGGUCGGAGUGGGAGGAGGCAGCAGGCAGGAGGCAGGGGACACGACGGGGGAGGGAGGCGCUGGAGCUCCGGGACAUGAAUGAACCAUGGCCGGUAACGGCGCUUGGGCUCUCCCGGUCUGCUCCUUCCUGCUGCUGCAGCUCCCGGUGGUCCCGCUGCCGAACCUCCGGUCCGCGGAGGAGGAGGUGUUCCAGUGGUGGGGGGAAUGGUCCAGCUGGUCCUCUUGUUCCAGGAGCUGUGGAGGAGGAGUCAGGAGCCAGGAGAGACACUGCCUCAUACAAAGGUAACACCUGGUUGCUCUGUCCUUGUGUGGUGGAGCUCCACCUCCCCCACGCUCCAAACACAGGCGCCCCCCCCUGCUCAGUGACAGCUGGAAUCCUUAGAGGACUACAAGCGUUUCAGAUGGUGUGUGUGUGUGUGUGUGUGUGUGUGUGUGUGUGUGUGUGUGUGUGUGUGUGUGUGUGUGUGUGUGUGUGUGUGUGUGUGCGUGCGUGCGUGCGUGCGUGCGUGCGUGCGUGUGUGUGUUGCAUUCUACAGUACGUCCCUCUGUCAGACGGGUGGGGGUUUGUGUGAGUUUUCUGUUCAGCCUCCGUCUACUAACAUGUAACACUCACGCCUCCCUGUCGUCUCUACUGCUUUACUGUCUAAACAUUAGGUGGGUGGGCUAUAAUGCAGUCCUACAGUGUUGACCUGAGUUUAUACUCAAGUAGUUAUGAUACAAAAGACUUGAAACCUGGUGACAACAAAUGUUUCCUAUGUGCCCAUGAGCACAAUAACAGCGGAGUUCUGGGGAAAACGUAAUCUUACCCAUCAUUGGAGAACCUACAGAACAGAUGCAGAGCCUGUUACUGUUUACAUUAAGGAACUGCUGAGUGUAACGGAGUCAGCUGUAAUGUACAGCGCCUGUCUGAGGUGUAGCAGACCCAGGACCAGUUCUCAGGUGGAACUGGACUGGGACAGAGAACCAGGUCCUGUACAUGACUCUGUUGUGAGGCCUCUGAGCUGUUGGUUGACGGUUCUCCAUUUAUACAGACAUAGCUUUGUUUCCUUCCAGCUAAGUCACUACCAGCAGCUCUCCUUCAGAAACCUCAUCUGUUUGUGCUGACACACUCCUACAAAUAGAUCACUUUGGUGAAGAUCCAGAUUUGCUUUCCUUAAAAAACCAUCAGACAAAUUCUAGAGGUUCACACACACAGUUAUUGGCACAUUCUCAAUGAGGUAAACAAAACUACCAUUAUCUACUUCUGCUGCCAGAAGGAAAAUAGUGAGAGUGGGCUCAGAUGAGCGAUAUGAAUAAAUGUGAGAAGGAGCUGCA
rnacentral:lncRNA from 1 species